rnacentral:tRNA from 1 species
AGCAAUCUGGCUUAGUGGUAAGGUGCUUGUUUGUAAUACAAGGUCCUGGGUUCAAUUUCCAAUACUGGGA